UACGAGGGGGGCAAGCGUUGUUCGGAAUCAUUGGGCGUAAAGAGCGUGUAGGCGGCUAUUUAAGUCCUGCGUGAAAUCCUGCGGCUCAACCGCAGACGGUCGUGGGAAACUGGAUGGCUAGAGUGCGGGAGAGGAGAGUGGAAUUCCCGGUGUAGCGGUGAAAUGCGCAGAUAUCGGGAAGAACACCCGUGGCGAAGGCGGCUCUCUGGAACGCAACUGACGCUGAGACGCGAAAGCGUGGGGAGCAAACAGG
rnacentral:rRNA from 1 species